rnacentral:lncRNA from 1 species
UAAUAGAAACCAUGGCCUGAAGAGCCUAAAGUAUCUACAUUUAACCAUGACCCUCACCAAGAAAACUCACCCAACACCUCUUUUAGGUUCCCAGUUCCCAGGAGUGCUGCCUUUAAACCAGCAGUUUGGGUCUCAUCUGCCAGCCUAUUAGAACUCUCAGUUCUAAUACAAGCUAUAACAGUUUAAUUUGUUGGGCAUAGUAAUUCCAGCUCUGGAACAAGUAGGAGGAUCAGACAUUCAAAAUCAUCUUUAGCUACGAGUAUUUUCCAGGCCAGCCUGCACUAUAUGAGACCUGAUAUUUAAAGUUAAAAUGUUUUAAAUAUAUAUCAGAAACAUCACACAUGGUGGUGCAUCACUAUAAUCACAACACCUGGGAGGCACAGGCUGGCAGAUCUGAGCUUGAGGCUGGGCUGAUAUACAGGAUGAAUUCCAGGACAGGACAGACUGGACUACAAAGAGAAACCCUAUCUGAAAUCAAAGAAAAAGAAAUAAAAGAAACGCUAUCUCUCAGAAGUCUGGAAGAUGUACACAAGACUCUCUUUGAGGGUUUAAACUAUGUCCCCUUGUAGCUCUGUAAGAGCCCUAAGCCUUCUGCAGAAUGUGUGUGUAUUUGAAAGCAGAGUUGGGGUUGGAUUAGCCAAGAUAAUAUACUAGAACAGGCUCCUCAGUCAAUAUGCGAGUGUUUUGUCAGAAGUAGGAAAGAGACCGACAGGAUGAGAACAACCUGAGGAUGUCACUCAAGGGUAGCGGUGACACUGCCUCUACAAGCCAAAGGACUGCCUCAGAUCACUGGUAACACAAGAAACUCAGAGAAUGGGCCUAGGGUUAACAUCUCCCUAACCUAAGUGAGAGCCAGAGCCUGCCAUCACCUUCAUUUUGGGCUUCUGGCCUGCAAAACCCAGAGGAAUUACUUAGUGACCUCCCUUCCCUCAGUGGUGCUUUGUUCUAUCACUGCUGUAGGGCAAAAUAGGCUCAGAAUCCAGCUGGUUCAACCUCUGUAUCAUUAUGCUGGCUUUUUUUUUUUUGUCCCUGCUGUCUUGGCCUGAUGCUAGAACCACAUCUCAAGUGGCAGAUCACCCGUGUUUCCUGUGGGGUGCAGUAGUAGGGCAGGCAAAGCUAACCCUUGCCUUUGUGGAACACGAAAGCCCCAAGCUGUCCAACUGACAGUGUCCAGAGUACCUUGUGAAUCUCAGAUAGAGGCUUAAAGAAAAUUCCAGACACUUCCCAGAACACACAGGAAGAACCUGAUUGUAUGGAGAUUCUGGAAGUAUUUUUCCAUUCCUUUAAUUGUCCCUUGCCUUCAGAGAUAAAUGAACUGUUUUUUCAAAACUCAACUGGAGGUCUGAUGGCGUAGCUCAGUGGUUCAAUACUUGCCUAGCAUGUGUAAGACUCUGGGUUCAAUGCCCAGCUUUGAAAAAAAAACUAUGUAGUAGAUAAUAUUUCAUUAAUGUUAGUGUCUGAGGUAAGAUAUUGGUAUUUAGCUAUGCAGAAAAAUGGCUCUGUUCUUAGGAGUACGAGAGUUCUCAAUGUUAGCAACUUUGGGGGGGGGAUGUUUGUUUUGUUUUGUUUUGUUUUGUUGUUUUUCGAGACAGGGUUUCUCUGUAUAGCUCUGACUGUCCUGGAGCUCACUUUGUAGACCAGGCUGGCCUUGAACUCAGAAAUCAGCCUGUCUCUGCCUCCCAAGUGCUGGGAUUAAAGGCGUGUGCCACCACCGCCCGGCUUGCUAGCAACUUCCAAAUGCUUUGGGAAACAGACAGAAAGCAGAUCUGAAAAAUGCUUAAGAGCUCAUCGUAGGUGAAACUGUUACGGUGACCUUGGACUGUGGUGUAACCUUACCUGAAGCUUUCCUGACCUUGGACUGUGGGAUGACCUUUCCUGAAGCUUUCCUGACCUUGGACUAUGGGAUGACCUUACCUGAAACUUUGACUUUAUUUUUUUCAAAAAGAGAAGUUGAGAACAAGAAUGAAUAAAAAUCACAGAUAGCUUUGGAGAUGAGCCCAGGAGAGCAGGUUGAAAAUACAGAGAAAGGACAUUGAAGGCGAUUGAAAGUCACAGGCAAAACAAGUCAUGAAAGACCUGUCUUUUAUGCAAGGCCUUUAGCUUGAGAGAAGUCACGUGGGAAUAGAAACUAUUUUUGGCUGAAAAUGGUGCUAAAUCCCGAGCUUAUAAAGCAUAAUCCUUUCCUCAAGCUGAUCAGGUUCGGAUGAUAGUUCAUUUAGUAUAAAUUUGGGGGGGGGGUGUCUUCUAGCCAUUCUUAGAGGCUCUAGUUCUUUAAGAAAGGUGCAUUUAAUUAGCCAUAAAGUGGAAAUGCUGGCAGAUGACAGCAGUUCACACUGAGGCUCACUCUGAGUCAAAGCCACAUUGAUACCAUCCCUGCUCUAGCCCCUUGGCCUGGGUCCUUUUGUUCUUGUCAUUUAUGAAGCAUGAGCAUCUCAGACUUGAAGAAGCACAGUCAGAAAACAGUUCUCUGCAGUUCAUCUGUUGCCCCUUCUCAGAGAGACCCGGAAGUUCUUUAGCUGGAUCUACACACACACACACACACACACACACACACACCUUUAAUCCUAGAACUCCAAAGGCAGAGGCAUUCAGAUCUCUUGAGAGUUCAAGGCUAGCCUGGUCUAUGUAUCAAGAUUCAGGCUUACCAGGGCAACGAAGUCAUACCCUGGC